rnacentral:rRNA from 1 species
AUUGACCGCUGGCGGCAGGCCUAACACAUGCAAGUCGAACGCGUGGCGGACGGGUGAGUAAUGUCUGGGACACUGCCCGCUGGAUGGGGGUACCUACUGGAACCGGUAGCUAAUACCGCAUACCAUCGGAUUUGCCCAGAUGGGAUUAGCUAGUCGGUGGGGUAACGGCUCACCUAGGCGACGCUCCCUAGCUGGUCUGAGAGGAUGACCAGCCAGACUGGAACUGAGACACUGUCCAGACGCCUACGGGAGGCAGCAGUGGGGAAUAUUGGACAAUGGGCGCGAGUCUGAUGCAGCCAUGCGGAGGGUAGGAAGAAGUCCAUCGGGUUGUAAAGUACUUGGAGAGAGGAGGCGGUACUCGCAGAAGAAGCACCGGCUAACUCCGUGCCAGCAGCCGCGGUAAUUC